ensembl:lncRNA
CAAAUCUCAGCGCGGGGAGCCCCCCGGCCCCAUGGCGGCUCACGGAAGGGGCUCUGGUGUCCCUGCCUCUCUGGGUAUGUAUGUGGAGGCUGAGCCCUCAUCCACUGUGUGCUGGUGGGUUCAGGGACACCCGGUAUCUGCCCAUCCUUGGUUUGAUUACAGGUCAUGCCUGCCUCUAAGAACGGGCAUGACUACGAGAGGCCUCAGUCACGUUUCCUACUUCCCGCUGCAAGAGAGGCUGGGUAAACAUGUCCAGGUUCCCGAGUGAAGAAUUUCACCCAGCAUUUGAGGGGGAGAUUCAGAUGAGAAGCGGCCCCCUUCCCGAAAUAAUAUAACUAAAUAGCAGCAGUGCCAACUACAAAAACUCAGAGCCAAUGAAAACGAUCCACCAGCCCUCUCCAGAGGUGGAGGUGGAUGGUGCCCAGGUGCAUGGAAGUUAGCUGUGAUCGUCCCCUGGGGGACCGUCUCCCACACCUCCCUAGGAGGGCUGAUCAGGGACACCUGCUGUGGUGGAGGGCGGCGGUCCCUGAGGUUCUAGAAGAGGGGUUUUCCCAGGACAGCCAUUUCACUGGGACUAAUUCUGCUCAGCCCAUCUUUCUAGGUUCCAGUCCUGCCCCCGAGGCACGUGUUCCCAGAUGUCAUUGGCAAAGCAGGGACAUUGGUGUCAGCCCCCUGGUUGGGACCGACAAGUUGAUGCUGUCCCAUCUUUCGGCCUCUGCACUCCAUGCACCUGCCACCAUCUUCCCGCAGGAAGCACCGCAGGGCUCCAUGGACCCUUUAUUAUGUGGUCCUUGAAGAGAGGUAUUCCGAGGUGAAUUUGUUUUAUUUAUGACAAAUCAAUCUUGGCCAGCCUCUUUGCAGUAUCAAAUCCGACAUGGAUGAGGGGCCAUCGGAGCUGGGACUCUUGGCGUUGGCAGGUCCGGAGGGUAAGUGGCCAGUGGCUGUCUAGAGAGUUCGAGUGGCAGUCCUGGACAGUCGAUCCCCUAACGCUCAGUUUCUUUCUUCCUUAGGAGGAGUUUCUGGAGCUCUGCCAACUGGGACCGGAGGCCGCAGGGUUGGUUCCUCUCAGUGCUCUGUUUGGUACUAGAAAAGAGGUUGUCUGUGUUUCUUAGCUUUGUUUAUGAUGAAAAAUAUGGGUACACUUCUAUUUGAAUAUCACAUCCCAUCACGGAAGCCCAGCUCCAGCUUCCGGGAAGAGACAUUAAUGAUAAGCCCCAUUAGUGGCACUUGGGUGAUGCUGGGCUCAGCGGCUGCCUGCGGAAUGCUUGACUCCUGCCCCACCCAUCCUUGGGGGCCUGUCCUCCCUUCAGAGACUGUCGUGGGGGCACAAACAACUUUGGAGAAGAAGCAGCUAUCACUAGCGGUCCAUCAAGAAAGGCUGUCCAAGAUGUGGCUGACAGAGCCUACCUGAUGGACCAAGUCAAGUGCCGCCCUCCUGGGCGAUGGGAAGGCUCAGAUGCAGCAACACCUGCCAGGGUUUCUGAACCAAGAUAGAGGGCAGCUGGCCCCAGAGGCCCAGAGUCUCUGCAGCCCUGAGGACCUCCUGGAGGGGGGAUUCUGGUUCUGAGCCACCCAUGGGAUGUGAAGUGGCCUGGUGAUGCCUCUGUCCUAUACCCAAGGAAACAGGAAAGGUACAGCUUUCAGGACUGAGCCUCCUUCCUACCUGGGAGGCCGUCCGCAUCCUGCAGCUGAUGUCAGGGAGAGCCACCCAUACCUGCGUACAGGAGGAUGUCCAGCGGACAGAGGAGGAGCGUGUCACAGAAGCUGGUCUGAGAUGUUCGAAAGGAGGUUGUCCGUGAUGUAUUUGCUUUAUUUGUGGCAGAUAUUGCACGGUUGAUCUCUUUUCUUCAUCAAAUGCCUUCUUGAAGGAUUCGCUGCACGUGAGGGGUCAAGCUCCGGCGUGGGGAGUGGGGAGGUGUUACCCCACUCUGAGGGCAUGGGAACAGAUGGUUGACCAGAUGGCUAGUGUUCUCCUCUAUUUUUCUUCAUUUCUUCUUUUGUGAAUUGAGAAUGUAUUAAAUGAUACCCUAUCAUCCUGUUUUUUUACUGUAAAUCUGUCAAUGUGAAAAAUUAGGCUGUGUAACACCAAUUUAUUUUAAACAGUUGACAAAUAAAUGUGAACAAAAAGUUGUUUAGCACUUUUUUUUUGGAGUUUUAGAAGAAUCCUGAACCAAAACCUCCAGUGUUUUGGUUUCCAAAGCUUAACCUCUGAAAGAACAGAUGAGCCACCAGAAUUACACUGAACAAAUUAUAAUGAUAAAGAUGAGAUGAUCAUGGGAAUUGUUAUGACUGUGUGGCAGGUGUACCGAUGUUUUAGUAUAAAACUUAUUUUUCAGAUCGUUUUAUUUUAAUAAUAACUUUUUAAGACAAAAUACCAGUCUUCUUGGGAAAGUUACAAUUUUAAAAUUCUUAACAGAAAGCGACUACAAAGUCUUUACACCCUCCUCAAAGGCCCCUCUGCUGUAGCUCAUCUGAUUGUCUCUGACUUAUCUUUUUGUAGUUUUGCUGGGGAGCAGAGUGCUGUUUUUAAUACGUAACCUUGGAGAAGAGUUCCUCGAGACUUGUAGGCAGGUGGAUUAUUCAAGGAGAGUUCUCCAGGAAGACCAUUCCAGAGGGAAGUGGGGGUAACAAGAGAGGGAGGGGGUAAUGACCAACAGUGAGCAGACACGGUUAUCUGUUCAUAGACCCGUGGUAGCCCACCUGGCAUGUUAUCCUCAGCAGGACACUCAGGGCAUGGUGCCUGCUUCUUGGAAGAGACAACAGGUGAGUUGACAUUGAUUCCCCAGGGCCCCUGCAGAGGAGUUUCGUGGCUAGUCACUACGUCUGUUCCAAAUCUCAACUGGCUGCCUACAUUUCAGUUUUUAAGAAAGUACAGCCCAACUGGGAAUUAUUGCUUAAAUGGUAUGUCCUCCUCAUGCAUGACCAUGCUUGUAAGAUCCACUCUUGGGUACUUGAGCAAUGUUGGUCA